rnacentral:rRNA from 1 species
GUGUCAGCAGCCGCGGUAAUACGGGGGGUGCAAGCGUUGUUCGGAAUCAUUGGGCGUAAAGCGCGCGCAGGCGGCUUGGUAAGUCAGAUGUGAAAUCCCUGGGCUUAACCCAGGAAGUGCAUUUGAUACUGCCUCGCUAGAGUACGGGAGAGGAAAGUGGAAUUCCUGGUGUAGAGGUGAAAUUCGUAGAUAUCAGGAGGAACACCGGUGGCGAAGGCGACUUUCUGGCCCGAUACUGACGCUCAGGCGCGAAAGCGUGGGGAGCAAACAGGAUUAGAAACCCCCGUAGUCC